UAGCUAAUGAAGACCAGGAAAAAGCAGAAAUUUUAAAUAACUAUUUUUCUUCAGUAUAUAUUAAUGAGGAUCCUAUGGCAAGAGAUAUGCAAAUGAUUGCUGCAAAAAAAUUGCAAAUAACUUGUGAUUGGAUAACUCGAGACAAAGUGCUACAGCUAUUAAAGAAAAUUAAUGUAAAUAAAGCUCCGGGGCCUGAAGGUAUUCACCCAAGAGUACUUAAGGAGCUAAGUGGGGAAAUAAGUGAACCUCUGUAUUUAAUUUUUCAAGAUUCUUUUGUUUCAGGUGUUGUACCAGAGGAUUGGAGGAAGGCAGAUGUUGUUCCUAUAUUUUAAAAGGGUUCAAAAUCCUCGCCUGGAAAUUAUAGACCUGUGAGCUUAACUUCUGUAACUGGGAAAAUAUUAGAAGGGCUAUUAAGGG